GCUUCCUUGGCUCAGUUGGCUAGAGCGCGAGUCUCAUAUCGAAUGGUUUGAGGUCAUUGGAUGACUGUAAUCUCGAGGUCGCAAGUUCGAGCCUUGCAGGGAGCA
rnacentral:tRNA from 1 species